rnacentral:rRNA from 1 species
UCAAGCUAAAAAGAGCGCAGGGUGGAUGCCUUGGCACUAAGAGCCGAUGAAAGACGUGAUAAGCUGCGAUAAGCUACGGGGAGGAGCACAUAUCCAUUGAUCCGUAGAUUUCUGAAUGGGGAAACCCGGCUGAGCAUACCUCAGUCACCGUACACUGAAUCCAUAGGUGUACGGAGGGAACCCGGUGAACUGAAACAUCUAAGUAGCCGGAGGAAGAGAAAGAAAACUCGAUUUUCAAAGUAGCGGCGAGCGAAAUGGAAAGAGCCCAAACCGGAGUGCGUGCACUCCGGGGUUCGGACUGCAUUUAUGACUUCUGACUGUAGCGGAACGGUUCUGGAAAGACCGGCCAGAGAGGGUGAGAGCCCCGUAGGCGAAACGGAAAGAAGCAGAGCAGGAUCCAGAGUACCACGAGACACGAGAAACCUUGUGGGAAUGAGCGGGGACCACCCCGUAAGGCUAAAUACUCCUUAGUGACCGAUAGAGCAGAGUACUGUGAAGGAAAGGUGAAAAGGACCCCGGGAGGGGAGUGAAAGAGAACCUGAAACCCUGUGUUUACAAACUGUGGAAGUACCAUAUGAGUACAACCGCGUACUUUUUGUAGAACGGUCCGGCGAGUUACGUUUACUGGCGAGGUUAAGCACUUAAGGUGCGGAGCCGAAGGGAUACCAAGUCUUAACAGGGCGUUAAGUCAGUGUACGUAGACCCGAAACCGGGUGAUCUACCCAUGUCCAGGCUGAAGUUGCCGUAAAAGGCAAUGGAGGGCCGAACGCACAUCCGUUGAAAAGGGUGGCGAUGAGGUGUGGGUAGGGGAGAAAUUCCAAUCGAACCCGGAGAUAGCUGGUUCUCCUCGAAAUAGCUUUAGGGCUAGCCUCGUUUUAGUCUUAUGGAGGUAGAGCACUGAAUUUCCGCGGGGGCGUCAAAGCUUACCAAAGAAUAUCAAACUCCGAAUGCCAUGUAGAUGAUGAACGGGAGUCAGACUGCACGAGAUAAGUUGGGCGGUCAAAAGGGAAAGAGCCCAGACCACCGGCUAAGGUCCCAAAGUGUGUGUUAAGUGGAAAAGGAUGUGGGAAUUCGAAGACAACUAGGAUGUUGGCUCAGAAGCAGCCAUACAUUCAAAGAGUGCGUAACAGCUCACUAGUCGAGAGUUCCUGCGCCGAAAAUGUCCGGGGCUGAAACACGACACCGAAGCCGUGGACUCGCAAUGCGAGUGGUAGAGGAGCAUUCUUAAAACCGACGAAGCUGUACCGAAAGGAGCAGUGGAGGGAUAAGAAGAGAGAAUGCCGGAAUGAGUAGCGAGAGAAAGGUGGGAAUCCUUUCGGCCGAAUAUCUAAGGUUUCCAGAGUAAAGCUGAUCUGCUCUGGGUAAGUCGGGGCCUAAGCACAGGUCGCAAGACGUAAGCGAUGGAUAACAGGUUUAGAUUCCUGUACCACGCAUUAUCAGAACUGUAGGGACGCAUGUGGAAAGCACGAGCCGGGAAUGGAAAGACCGGUACAAGCGGGGUAGGUGUACGAUAGGAAAAUCCGUUGUAUAAUCCGAAGACGUGAUGUGGAGCGAAAUAAAGUAGCAAAGCGUGUGAGCCAUGUGCCGAGAAAAGCUGCUAUUGUGUAAUGCGUGCCCGUACCGUAAACCGACACAGGUGGAUGAGGAGAGAAUCCUAAGGCCGACGGAAGAAGCAUUGUUAAGGAAUUCGGCAAAAUGACCCCGUAACUUCGGGAGAAGGGGUGCCCACUGAAUGGUGGGCCGCAGAGAAUAGGCUCAAGCAACUGUUUAGCAAAAACACAGGUCUAUGCGAAACCGAAAGGUGAAGUAUAUGGGCUGACGCCUGCCCGGUGCUGGAAGGUUAAGAGGAGAGGUUAGCGCAAGCGAAGCUUUGAAUUUAAGCCCCAGUAAACGGCGGCCGUAACUAUAACGGUCCUAAGGUAGCGAAAUUCCUUGUCGGGUAAGUUC